rnacentral:misc_RNA from 1 species
GAUGAAGAACGUAGCGAAAUGCGAUAAGUAGUGUGAAUUGCAGAAUUCAGUGAAUCAUCGAAUCUUUGAACGCACAUUGCGCCCUUUGGUAUUCCUUAGGGCAUGCCUGUUCGAGCGUCAUUUAAACCUUCAAGCUCAGCUUGGUGUUGGGUGACUGUCCGCUUCACCGCGGACUCGCCUCAAAAUUAUUGGCGGCCGGUACAUUGGCUUCGAGCGCAGCAGAAACGCGAACUCGGGCCCGUCGUAUUGGCUCCCAGAAGCUAUCUUCACAAUUUUGACCUCGGAUCAGGUAGGGAUACCCGCUGAACUUAAGCAUAUCAAUAAGCGUAGGA